GUCCUGAGUUUACUAUCAUCUUUAACACAAUUUACACAUGCGAGUAUCCGCGCCCCUGUGAGAAUGCCCUUAAUCCCCCGCCCGGGGACGAGGAGCAGGUAUCAGGCACAACCCUUAGCCCAAGACACCUUGCCAAGCCACACCCCCAAGGGAAUUCAGCAGUGAUAGAUAUUAAGCCAUAAGUGAAAACUUGACUUAGUUAGUGUUAAGAGGGCCGGUAAAACUCGUGCCAGCCACCGCGGUUAUACGAGAGGCCCAAGUUGAUAGGCACGGCGUAAAGGGUGGUUAAGGAAAACAUAAAUAAAGCCAAAGGGCCUCCCGGCCGUCAUACGCUCCCGAGUGUCCGAAGCCCCCAAACGAAAGUAGCUUUAAUACCGCCCACCUGACCCCACGAAAACUGAGAAACAAACUAGGAUUAGAUACCCCACUAUGCUCAGCCGUAAACCUAGACGUUAUACCACUAUAAACGUCCGCCCGGGUACUACGAGCGUUAGCUUAAAACCCAAAGGACUUGGCGGUGCCUUAGACCCCCCUAGAGGAGCCUGUCCUAGAACCGAUAAUCCCCGUUAAACCUCACCACUUCUAGCCAACCCCGCCUAUAUACCGCCGUCGUCAGCUUACCCUGUGAAGGACUAACAGUAAGCUAAGUGGAUAUAAUCCAAAACGUCAGGUCGAGGUGUAGCGCACGAAGUGGGAAGAGAUGGGCUACAUUUUCUAUAAUAGAACAUUCACGAACAGUACCCUGAAAAACAACUCGAAGGAGGAUUUAGUAGUAAAAAGGAAAAAGAGUGUCCUUUUGAACCCGGCUCUGAGGCGCGUACACACCGCCCGUCACUCUCUCCUGUCACACAGCAAUACAUGUAAUUAACACCAAAGCAUAGACAAGGGGAGGCAAGUCGUAACAUGGUAAGUGUACCGGAAGGUGCACUUGGAUCAAACCCAGGGUGUGGCUGAGGCAGUUAAGCAUCUCCCUUACACCGAGAAGACACCCAUGCAAAUUGGGUCGCCCUGAGCCAAACAGCUAGCUUAACCACCAGAAUUAACUCAUCAACAUAGAUAAUACAAAAUCAACUAGUCCAAUAAACUAAACCAUUUUUCCACCUUAGUACGGGAGACGGAAAAGGUAACUUUAAGCAAUAGAGAAAGUACCGCAAGGGAAGGCUGAAAGAGUAAUGAAACAACCCAUAUAAGCACAG
rnacentral:ncRNA from 1 species